rnacentral:rRNA from 1 species
CACGUAGGGGGCGAGCGUUGUCCGGAUUUAUUGGGCGUAAAGAGCUCGUAGGCGGCUCGGUAAGUCGGGUGUGAAAACUCAGGGCUCAACCCUGAGACGCCACUCGAUACUGCUGUGGCUUGAGUCCGGUAGGGGAGCGUGGAAUUCCUGGUGUAGCGGUGAAAUGCGCAGAUAUCAGGAGGAACACCGGUGGCGAAGGCGGCAUUCUGGACCAAUACUGACGCUGAGGAGCGAAAGCCAGGGGAGCAAACGGG